GACGAACGCUGGCGGCGUGCUUAACACAUGCAAGUCGAACGAGGUCCAUGGUGCUUGCACCGGAAGACCUAGUGGCGAACGGGUGAGGAACACGUGAGAAACCUGCCCCGGACUCUGGGAUAACAGUUGGAAACGACUGCUAAUACCGGAUGCCGUCGGAGAUCCGCAUGGAUCACUGACGAAAGAAUCUCGGUUCGGGAGGGUCUCGCGGCCUAUCAGCUUGUUGGCGGGGUAACGGCCCACCAAGGCAUCGACGGGUAGCUGGUCUGAGAGGAUGAACAGCCACACUGGGACUGAGACACGGCCCAGACUCCUACGGGAGGCAGCAGUGGGGAAUCUUGCGCAAUGGGCGAAAGCCUGACGCAGCAACGCCGCGUGCGGGAAGAAGGCCUUCGGGUUGUAAACCGCUUUCAGCAGGAACGAAAAUGACGGUACCUGCAGAAGAAGGUGCGGCCAACUACGUGCCAGCCGCCGCCGUAA
rnacentral:rRNA from 1 species